UGCACCCAUCUCACCAUGACCCCAAGCAGCCUGGGUUUGGGUUAGCCCCCUGUCUAAACCAAUCUGAGCAUGGGGGGAAGUCCUUCCUGACCCAAAGGCUCUUGGAGGCGCCUCGGAGCUGCCAGAUCAUUUGUGUAUCCUGAUGACUAAAGUGGGUGACUAGUCUUCCAGGAAAGUUGGUGUCAUGUAGCCAGGGCCAAGCUUCUCUGGAGCGUCUUUCACCGAUGCAGGACAAAAGCAACAGGAACAAUUGUCCCUUGCUGGGCAGGCUCUGGACUUGCACCCAGAGCGGUUGAACGAAGCGCUUCCUGUGAGAGAUGCUAGAUACAGCGGCCAAAGGAAGACGCUGGCCAUAGUCCACCCCAGCCCUGGGUGUUGGGCAGCUGGAAUAGAAAACGGAUCCUCUAUUUCCUCCACAGACAGAGCGUAAGAUUCGAAGUUGCCGUCCGCCAUACGUUUGUACCAGCCCUGUAGCAACCUCCCCUCACGCUUCAGCUCUCUCUCAAGCUGUUGGGAUGCCAAGGUGACCUUUGAUGCUGGAAUAUGAGAGGAAGGCACUUGGGAGCCCAUGUGCACAAGCUCACUAUCAUGCCCUAUCCUCUUUUGGGUAGUCUGGUGGCUGGCCGCUUUUGUGACUCAUGGCUACCUGAAGCCAAAUACUUUCAUUCCUCUCCAUGAAACAAGUGUAUCUAUUAUUUCAUACCCUAAUAUAUUUCUGAGUAAUAAAGCAAAGGGGCUGGCAACUGUUCUGUUUGUCGUUGGGCUAGGGGUAUGAUGCUCACUUUGGGUGCAAGAGGUCCUCGGUUCAAAUCCUCAAAAGCCCAUUUUGGGGGUCGGCCCUGAUGAUGUUUAGGUCCCUUCCGACCCUAAGUACUAUGAUACUAUGAAACAGUCUUUCCCCUGGUUUGUAAGAGGUAUCAGAUGUACCACAGGUUGUUAUUAUUGCUAUAAUUGGUACCUGCAUUUCAGCUGAGACUGAGGAUCCUUUC